rnacentral:siRNA from 1 species
CUGACCACUCCACCUAUAUUGUC